rnacentral:rRNA from 1 species
GAUGAACGCUGGCGGCGUGCCUAAUACAUGCAAGUCGAGCGAACGGACGAGAAGCUUGCUUUGCUGAUGUUAGCGGCGGACGGGUGAGAAACACGUGUAUACUCUCCCUAUAAGACUGGGAUAACUUGGGGAAACCGGAGCUAAUAGGGGAGAAGAUUUUGAACCGCAGGGUUGAAAAGUGAAAGACGGUGUUGGUGUAACGUAUAGAGGGAUCCGCGCUGGAUUAGCUAGUUGGUAAGGUAAAGGCUUUCCAAGGCAACGAUGCAUAGCAGACCUGAGAGGGUGAGUGGCCACACUGGGACUGUGACCCGCCCCAGACUCAUACGGGUGCCACCAGUAGGCAAACGUCCGAAAUGGGCGAAAGCUUUACGGAGCAACGCGGAGUGAUUGAUGAACGUCUUCGCAUCCUAAAACUCUGUUAUUAGGGUAGAACACAUGUGUAAGUAACUGUGAACAUCUUGACCGUACCUAGUCAGAGAGCCACGGCUAAAUUAGUG